AUUGAACGCUGGCGGCAUGCCUUACACAUGCAAGUCGAACGGUAACGCGGGGCAACCUGGCGACGAGUGGCGAACGGGUGAGUAGUACAUCGGAACGUGCCCAGUAGUGGGGGAUAGCCGGCGAAAGCCGGAUUAAUACCGCAUACGACCUAUGGGUGAAAGCGGGGGAGUCGCAAGACCUCGCGCUAUUGGAGCGGCCGAUGUCAGAUUAGGUAGUUGGUGGGGUAAAAGCCUACCAAGCCGACGAUCUGUAGCUGGUCUGAGAGGACGACCAGCCACACUGGGACUGAGACACGGCCCAGACUCCUACGGGAGGCAGCAGUGGGGAAUUUUGGACAAUGGGCGCAAGCCUGAUCCAGCCAUGCCGCGUGCGGGAAGAAGGCCU
rnacentral:rRNA from 1 species